UGAAUCUCUAAUAAAUUUUCAAGAUAAAGUAAAAUGCCAAUUUGAAUCUGAAGAGCUUUUAAAACCAAAUGCUACACCCUGAGUCUUUCGAUACCUUUCACAAUUAUCCUGUGAGAGCCGCACUUCAUCACGAAGCACCAUUACCAGUGAAAAUUACGGUGAUUACAAUAGCAACAAUAGAAUACCGUCAAAUGAUCUCCAAUUUACCUAAUUUACCAAGGUUGACUGUGUGCCCAUUGUGCUUCACUACGUCUGGCAUUGGAUCAAUAUCACAGAGGAAGAAAAAUGCCUUAGUAUAUGCUUCCUUUUGGUGCCUUUAACUUUGACAGCACAGGAAAAUCUAUCUCCUGUUAAAUGUUUUUACAGCCCAUCUGCAUGCCUGCCAUAGGAUCUGAUUGAUUCUCCAUCAUUUUCUUUGGUUGCUGAGUAUUGGAUGUUAUUGUGUUACUAAUUUGUUUAUAACGUGUACUCCUGCACAAAGACUGCAGCAAACGAGUAACAGCACAGCGACUGCGCUGCUGCAGCAGUAGCACUGCACUCUCUCGCAGGGGAAGCCAAAAUGAGUUUGGUGCCUUAUGUGAAUAAUCACUUGCAUCUGGGUUAUAAAUGCUUCCAAACAUCACUCAUCUUGGUUGCACGACAUGAGAAAUGUGUGCAAAAGUCGUGGUCAAGGGAAAUGGUUAUCUGUAAUCCUAACAAGAUUUCUCCCCUAUCCAGCAAUCAGUAUGAGGCUGUGAGAGAUAAGCUGUGACUCUUUCUUUAAAUGUGUGUGUGUACAUACGCAUGCACGUACAUAGGAGACAAUCCCUGUGGAGCUGAUAGCUGUGGACUAAUGACUGGUAUACCAAGCAGAUAAGCUGUGGACAUUUUUCAGUGUUAACAUAAUGACUUUCAUCAAAGGAGGAAGAAGUCUACUUAUUUUUCAUUUUGUUAAGCAAGUGGAGAAACUCCUCCAGACGUAGUCGCUGCAGAAGCCUGGGGUCAGUGCACAGCUCGCUGCCUGCGGGAACCACCUUCUUUACAGGCUUCUGAAAAAUAAGCACAUUGCUCAGCCAUGUUAGGUCUUUCAUGUUGCGUGCUCCACACUAAAGAAAUAAGCUAGCAUUGUGAAAGAGACUGCCUGGUGACCGUCCCACCAUCUCUG
rnacentral:lncRNA from 1 species